rnacentral:rRNA from 1 species
CCUGCCCUGAAGUGGGGGAUAACAUUUGGAAACAGAUGCUAAUACCGCAUAACAAUGACAGGUCACAUGACUUUUAUUUGAAAGAUGGAGCAAUCUAUCAGUUCAGGAUGGACCUGCGGCGUAUCAGCUAGUUGGUAAGGUAGAGGCUUACCAAGGCGAUGAUACGUAGCCGACUUGAGAGAGUGAUCGGGCACAUAGGGACUGAUACACGGCCCAAACUCCUACGGGAGGCAUCAGUAUGGAAUCUUCCACAAUGGACGAAAGUCUGAUGGAGCAACGCCGCGUGAGUGAAGAAGGGUCUCGGCUCGUAGAACUCUGUUAUUGGAGAAGAAUGAUAACGUAAGUAACUGUACUUUAUUUGACGGUACCCAAUCAGAAAGUCACGGCUAACUACGUGCCAGCAGCCGCGGUAAUACGUAGGUGGCAAGCGUUGUCCGGAAUUACUGGGCGUACAGAGCACGUAGGCGGGAACCUAAGUCAGGUGUGAAAGACCGUGGCUCACGCACGGGUAUGCAUUUGAAACUGGGUGUCUUGAGGGCAGGCGACGAAAGCAGAAAUCCUGGUGUUACGGUGAAAUGCGUAAAAAUCAUGAGGAAUAGCAGUGGCGAAGGCGGUUUUCUGGACUGUACCUGACGCUGAGGUGCGAAAGCGUGGGUAACAAACAAGAUUAGAUACCCUGUUAAUCCAUGCCGUAUAUAUGGAUACUA